CUUGUGUCAGUGGUUCGAAUCUACCUCUAAGCGCAAAUGCCUAGGGAGCGUGGUAUGAAGUAAGAACGGAAGCA
rnacentral:tRNA from 1 species